rnacentral:rRNA from 1 species
GCGCAGCAGGCGAGAAUAGUCUACAAUGGACGAAAGUCUGAUAGUGCGACGCCGUGUGUGCGAUUAAUUCCUUCGGGAUGUAAAGCACUUUUCUAUGAGAUAAAAGCUCUUUAGGUUAAUAGCUUAUUGAGACGGAUAUUAUUAUAGGAAUAAGCUCCGGCUAACUCCGUGCCAGCAGCCGCGGUAAUACGGAAGGAGCGAGCGUUGUCCGGAUUUACUAGGCGUAAAGGGCUAGUAGGCGACUAAUUAAGUUACAUGUUAAAUCCCACGGCUCAACUGUGGUCCUGCAUGUAAUACUGGUUAGAUAGAGUACUGUAGAGGAAGGCAGAAUCCCUGGAGUAGCGGUGGAAUGCGCAGAUAUCAGGAAGAAUACCAAAAGCGAAGGCAGCCUUCUGGGCAGUUACUGACGCUGAAUAGCGAAGGUGUGGGUAGCGAACAGGAUUAGAUACCCGCGUAGU